rnacentral:rRNA from 1 species
GGCUAAUCCUGGUCGGACAUCAGGAGGUUAGUGCAAUGGCAUAAGCCAGCUUGACUGCGAGCGUGACGGCGCGAGCAGGUGCGAAAGCAGGUCAUAGUGAUCCGGUGGUUCUGAAUGGAAGGGCCAUCGCUCAACGGAUAAAAGGUACUCCGGGGAUAACAGGCUGAUACCGCCCAAGAGUUCAUAUCGACGGCGGUGUUUGGCACCUCGAUGUCGGCUCAUCACAUCCUGGGGCUGAAGUAGGUCCCAAGGGUAUGGCUGUUCGCCAUUUAAAGUGGUACGCGAGCUGGGUUUAGAACGUCGUGAGACAGUUCGGUCCCUAUCUGCCGUGGGCGCUGGAGAACUGAGGGGGGCUGCUCCUAGUACGAGAGGACCGGAGUGGACGCAUCACUGGUGUUCGGGUUGUCAUGCCAAUGGCACUGCCCGGUAGCUAAAUGCGGAAGAGAUAAGUGCUGAAAGCAUCUAAGCACGAAACUUGCCCCGAGAUGAGUUCUCCCUGAGACUUAGAGUCUCCUGAAGGAACGUUGAAGACGACGACGUUGAUAGGCCGGGUGUGUAAGCGCAGCGAUGCGUUGAGCUAACCGGUACUAAUGAACCGUGAGGCUUAACCUUAC